GCCCGGGUGGCGGAAUUGGUAGACGCGCUGUCUUGAGGGGGCAGUGACCGAAAGGUCGUGCUGGUUCGACUCCAGUCCCGGGCACCA
rnacentral:tRNA from 1 species